rnacentral:rRNA from 1 species
GAGUUUGAUCCUGGCUCAGGAUGAACGCUAGCGGCAGGCCUAACACAUGCAAGUCGAACGGUAACAGAGAAAAGCUUGCUUUUUUGCUGACGAGUGGCGCACGGGUGAGUAACGCGUAUACAAUCUACCUUUUACAGUGGGAUAGCCCAGAGAAAUUUGGAUUAAUACCGCAUAGUAUUAUUAGUUGGCAUCAAUUGAUAAUUAAAGUUUCGGCGGUAAAAGAUGAGUAUGCGUUCUAUUAGCUAGAUGGUAAGGUAACGGCUUACCAUGGCAACGAUAGAUAGGGGCCCUGAGAGGGGGAUCCCCCACACUGGUACUGAGACACGGACCAGACUCCUACGGGAGGCAGCAGUGAGGAAUAUUGGACAAUGGGCGCAAGCCUGAUCCAGCCAUGCCGCGUGCAGGAAGACUGCCCUAUGGGUUGUAAACUGCUUUUAUACAGGAAGAAACACCCCGACGUGUCGGGGCUUGACGGUACUGUAAGAAUAAGGAUCGGCUAACUCCGUGCCAGCAGCCGCGGUAAUACGGAGGAUCCAAGCGUNAUCCGGAAUCAUUGGGUUUAAAGGGUCCGUAGGUGGAUAAUNAAGUCAGGGGUGAAAGUCUGCAGCUCANCUGUAGAAUNGCCUUUGAUACUGGUUAUCUUGAGUUAUUAUGAAGUAGUUAGAAUAUGUGGUGUAGCGGUGAAAUGCAUAGAUAUCACAUAGAAUACCAAUUGCGAAGGCAGAUUACUAAUAAUAUACUGACACUGAUGGACGAAAGCGUGGGGAGCGAACAGGAUUAGAUGCCCUGGUAGUCCACGCCGUAAACGAUGGUUACUAGCUGUUCGAACUUCGGUUUGAGUGGCUAAGCGAAAGUGAUAAGUAACCCACCUGGAGAGUACGUUCGCAAGAAUGAAACUCAAAGGAAUUGACGG